UACGUAGGGUCCGAGCGUUGUCCGGAUUUAUUGGGCGUAAAGAGCUCGUAGGCGGUUCCGUAAGUCAGAUGUGAAAACUCAGGGCUCAACCCGGAGACGCCAUCUGAUACUGCGGUGACUGGAGUCUGGUAGGGGAACACGGAAUUCCUGGUGUAGCGGUGAAAUGCGCAGAUAUCAGGAGGAACACCGAUGGCGAAGGCGGCGCUCUGGGCCGGAACUGACGCUGAGGAGCGAAAGCGUGGGUAGCAAACAGG
rnacentral:rRNA from 1 species